AGUGAACGCUGGCGGUAGGCCUAACACAUGCAAGUCGAACGGCAGCACAGUAAUAGCUUGCUCUUACGGGUGGCGAGUGGCGGACGGGUGAGGAAUACAUCGGAAUCUACUUUUUCGUGGGGGAUAACGUAGGGAAACUUACGCUAAUACCGCAUACGACCUACGGGUGAAAGCAGGGGAUCUUCGGACCUUGCGCGAUUGAAUGAGCCGAUGUCGGAUUAGCUAGUUGGCGGGGUAAAGGCCCACCAAGGCGCCGAUCCGUAGCUGGUCUGAGAGGAUGAUCAGCCACACUGGAACUGAGACACGGUCCAGACUCCUACGGGAGGCAGCAGUGGGGAAUAUUGGACAAUGGGCGCAAGCCUGAUCCAGCCAUACCGAGUGGGUGAAGAAGGCCUUCGGGUUGUAAAGCCCUUUUGUUGGGAAAGAAAAGCAGCAGGUUAAUACCCCGCUGUUCUGACGGUAACCAAAGAAUAAGCACCGGCUAACUUCGUG
rnacentral:rRNA from 1 species